UCCAUCUAGAAAUCAUGCAUUUUAAUCACUGUUGCGAAUGAAGAAAUGGUUAGGAUUAAAUGAUUUCAAUUGGGCAGGUGCUGCCAGUUAAAGCUGUAGCGAAGAAAAAAGCAGCUCCAGUGAAGGCAGUGAAGAACGGAAAAGCUGCUGCCAAACAGGAGAGUGAGAGUGACGACGAUGAUGAUGAAGAUUCUGAAGAGGAAGCUCCUCCGAAGAAGGCCGCACCUGCCAAGGCAACUCCUGCUAAGAAGGCAGCGCCUGCUGAGGAGUCCUCCGAUGACGAGGAGGAUGAUGAUGAAUCCGAGGAAGAGCCGCCACCUCCACCCAAGAAGGCCACACCUGCUAAAGCCGCAGCGGCAAAGAAAGCUGCUCCUGUGAAGAAAGCAGCUCCCGCUGAGGAGUCUGAUGAGGAUGACGAUGAAUCUGAUGAGGAGGAUGAUGAUGGUGUGUGUGACUGGAUGGGAUUUAUUUGUAUACAUGUGAUGCACUAAGGGAUUUAAUACUGACAGUGUUUGAUGACUCUAUGGACUGAUGUUUGCAUUUUUGAUAGUUUAAAUUUCGUCCUGUAUGUUU
rnacentral:lncRNA from 1 species